UACGGAGGAUCCAAGCGUUAUCCGGAUUCAUUGGGUUUAAAGGGGGCGUAGGCGGAAUGAUAAGUCAGUGGUGAAAUCUCUUCGCUUAACGAAGAAACUGCCAUUGAUACUGUCAAUCUUGAGUACAUUUGAUGUGGGCGGAAUGUGUCAUGUAGCGGUGAAAUGCUUAGAUAUGACACAGAACACCGAUUGCGAAGGCAGCUCACAAAACUGUAACUGACGCUGAGGCACGAAAGCGUGGGUAUCAAACAGG
rnacentral:rRNA from 1 species